GACGAACGCUGGCGGCGUGCUUAACACAUGCAAGUCGAACGGAAAGGCCCUGCUUUUGUGGGGUGCUCGAGUGGCGAACGGGUGAGUAACACUUGAGUAACCUGCCCUUGACUUUGGGAUAACUUCAGGAAACUGGGGCUAAUACCGGAUAGGAGCUCCUGCUGCAUGGUGGGGGUUGGAAAGUUUCGGCGGUUGGGGAUGGACUCGCGGCUUAUCAGCUUGUUGGUGGGGUAGUGGCUUACCAAGGCUUUGACGGGUAGCCGGCCUGAGAGGGUGACCGGCCACAUUGGGACUGAGAUACGGCCCAGACUCCUACGGGAGGCAGCAGUGGGAAUAUUGCACAAUGGGCGGAAGCCUGAUGCAGCAACGCCGCGUGCGGGAUGACGGCCUUCGGGUUGUAAACCGCUUUCGCCUGUGACGAAGCGUGAGUGACGGUAAUGGGUAAAGAAGCACCGGCUAACUACGUG
rnacentral:rRNA from 1 species